GAAUAAGAGGUCCCGCCUGCCCUGUGACUUUUAUGUUUAACGGCCGCGGUAUUUUGACCGUGCGAAGGUAGCGCAAUCACUUGUCUUUUAAAUGGAGACCUGUAUGAAUGGCAUAACGAGGGCUUGACUGUCUCCUCUUUCAAGUCAAUGAAAUUGAUCUCUCCGUGCAGAAGCGGGGAUACUUACAUAAGACGAGAAGACCCUAUGGAGCUUUAGACGCCAAGGCAGCUUGUGUUAAGCACCCUUCCCCCGAGGGAAUAAACAAGGCAAACCCUGCCCUGUAUGUCUUUGGUUGGGGCGACCGCGGGGCAAUACAAAACCCCCAUGUGGACCGGGAACAUCCCUCCUAGCACUAAGAGCUACCGCUCUAAGUCCCAGAAUUUCUGACUAAACAGAUCCGGCAAUGCCGAUCAACGAACCGAGUUACCCUAGGGAUAACAGCGCAAUCCCCUUUUAGAGCCCAUAUCGACAAGGGGGUUUACGACCUCGAUGUUGGAUCAGGACAUCCUAAUGGUGCAGCCGCUAUUAAGGGUUCGUUUGUUCAACGAUUAAAGUCCU
rnacentral:rRNA from 1 species